rnacentral:piRNA from 1 species
UGGCUGAACCAAGUUGGGUUUAUUAACGUGU